GGAGGCGGAUCGGUCCUGGUGGACCGCCUGGACUUCAAAUCCAGUCUGCGCCGUGGUGGCCCCACGGUGGGUGGGUUCGAUUCCCACACGCCUCCGCCA
rnacentral:tRNA from 1 species